UUUUAUUGUAUUCAUAAAAAUAUUGAAAACAGGGCAUCACCCUAGUACAGAUGAGAUAAACUUACAAAUCAGUAGUAGGAAUUUGACAAAUGAAAUCGAUGAAAGAGCACGAAGCUUACUCAGUUGAUUCAUUUGAAAACCAAUACAUAUCUCAUUUGAUUUCCCCACUGUCUGACAAUAAUGAAGAAGCAGAAUCCUUCCACACAACAUUACCAUAACCAAACAAUCUUGCAAAGCAAGAAAUCAACUGGUCGUGAACUACUUCUUCUGUAGGAAGCACCAAGUCCGUCUCCUUUCUCAGAGACGUAACUUCUUUAUCAGCAAUACCGCACGGCACAAUAUGCUUGAAAUAGUUCAAAUCCGGAUCAAUGUUGAAUGCCAACCCAUGAGAGGUGACUCCAUAUGAAAUGCGCACGCCAAUUGCACCGAUCUUUCUCUCUCCAACCCACACCCCAGUCUCUCCUGCUUGCCCCGGACAAGCCUUCACGCCAUACUGAGACGCCAAUUCAAUCAUAGUCAACUCAAGCUUCUCCACAUAUCUCCGAGCCCCAAGCCCAAUAUCCCGAAGCGAAACAAUGGGAUACAAGAUGGCCUGGCGCGGACCAUGAAAUGUAAUGUCUCCUCCUCUCUGCGUAUAGUGCAGUUCAGCUCCUAUUCCUUUUAGAUCAGACUCAGGAAUCAACAGAUUGUGAUCAGUCCUCCGCUUGCCAUGUUAAAAGCAAGAGAGAAUUGGUAUAAGUCGGGGGAUGUUGCAGGGCCAGGAGAGUAUCCGGAAUCUUAUGAACCUUUCGAUCGGAUACCAGCUUCUUCUGCAGCUUAAGU
rnacentral:lncRNA from 1 species